UUUUUUUUCCCAAGAUGUGAAAGUCUCUACAUGUUUGUUUGUCCAUUAUUUUAGUUUGGUGAAAGUAUUAACUUUUCUGAAUUAAAAGUUUAAAAAAUACUUUUAGUAAUAUAAAACACAAUUGUUUAUAAUUCAUUUUUAGGAAUGUUUAUUUCCCUACUAAAAUUUGUAUCUGAUUAAAGAAGCACAUAAAAUAUAAAUAAUAAGAAACUGUUAUUAAACAUUUGAACUGUUUGGGAAAAACACACCUUGUAUUUACUUUUAAAAUGUCUUCAAUAACCUCUUGUCACAGGGUUAUUUGGAAUUGGUUUAUUUUGUGUUGUAAUAAUAAUUAAAAGAGAGAUCAUGUAAAGCCUUAUACAAUAUCAUAAUUAUAAAAUAUUAAUGUAGCUUUAUAAAACACUCUUUUUUACAAAAGCUUCAUGGGACCCUGGUUGAAUUUCUAUGCCAACAAUUAGAAUCCAUAUGAAAUCAUUCCUGAACAUUGAAUUCAUCAAACAAAAUAUAAGGUAGUAGGAAAAUAAUUAAGCUAGUUAUUGAAUUUGUAAAAUAAAAAUCAUCAUACAAAAUAAAGAAAAGAAUUUUUAAAACCUAUUUAUAAUAAUAAAUUUAAAUCAAAUGAUGUAAGGAGUACAUGAGGUAUUGAGGAAAACAAGAGCUAUAUAAACUACAAGAGUUGCUGUGAAAGAAUCUUCAUUCUGAACACAAGCUGAAGACGGUCUUGCUCUGAGGUGUGAUAUCAGGACCUGAAUCCCCAGUUUCUCCCUGUCUCCAUACAGAGAGUUUUUGUCCAUCAGCUGUAUCUUUGCCCUUCACUCCAGAGGGUGAGAUUUGUCACAGCCUACAGAACUGUAGGUGAAGAGUGACCUUUUAGAUUUAAUUUCUAAAGUACUAUCCCUUUUAGUUCAGUCAGUGCGGUCAUUGGCACUUUGCAUUCUAUAAAAAGAAUGGCACUCAAAAUCUAUUGCUAUGCUAUAAAAUCCAACAUUGGUCACUGGAAAAAUUGGAGUUAUUAAAAAUUAUAUUAAUUAAACUACUAGACAUGAUUUUGCAUAAACUAUGGCUGUCAUAAUUAGGACAAUUUCGUGUGUCAUUUCCACAUAAAACCCCUUUGUUCACAGUGCAUGGACUAAUUAUAUGAAAAAGGAAAACCUACCAAUUCAUGGGACAGUAAUAAUUGUUAUAUGUUUGCUACCAUUUUAGGUGGCCACAUAGUUGUUGUACAUGUAUGUUUUGGUUGUAUAUCUAGCAGCUGGAGGAACUCUAUGGGGGUGAAGCUAGAAGAUUCUUCAGGAACAGAAAGUCCAUACUUUUGACCUUUUAUUUUAAAGGAUCUUCUAUAAAAAGAGUUAAUGAGCUUGCUACACUUGCUUUCUUUCUCUCUCCUCUCUCUCCAUUUUUCACUGAUUCUCUCCUCUGUCUAUUGUCACUGUCUUUCUCUGUUUCUAUUACUGUCUCUCUUUUACACAAACACAAACACACACAUGCAUAUGUGUACACACAUACACAUAUACUCACACACACACACACACAAACACACACACACACACCUGAGUUGGGCUAUUAUAUUUUUCAUACUGCACAAGUCUACCCAUUUCAGUGGUCUUUCUCAUCAGAACAAAUGCAUGUUUCACCUUCUGGACGCUCAAGUCAAAACUAUGAAACUGGGAUAAGGGCUUGCUCACUCAGUAGGUGUUUGCCCCUCAACCAAGAGGAACUGAUGCUGAUUCCAAGCUAAAUAACCACUAGAUGUGGGAGGAUGUACUUGUAACUCUAAUACUGGGGAGGUAAAAAAAAAGAGAAUUUCUUGAAUUUCCUCACCAGCCAGGUUGUCCUCAUGGACAAGCUCCCAAUCAAAUGAGAGACUUUGUCCCCAAAAUCAAGUGAUAAUGUCUUUCAAACUUUUCAAGCCUGUUCUAACUGUAGCUUACAGACUUCAUGAAACUGCCUGAUGUCAAAGUUAACUAGGAUCUUGGUCCAACACAAAAUUUAAACUUGUUUUAAAUUUUCAUUUUGGAUAUUCACACUGUUUUGAUACCAAGUGUUUAUUUUUGUAGAUAACAACAUUAUUGCAAUGUAAAACUUUGGACAAAUUGAGUCUAACCAUCUUAAAAGUAACUUGAUGCUAUCUUUGACAUAUAACAGCAAACCAACAAUUUGGGGCCACAACCAUUGUGGGUUGCUCCUUCUGACUAAAUCAUAAGAAAUAUGCAUAUAUUAUAAUUCUCUAUUCAUGCCAAGUCUUACCCAAUGCUACACUUGUUUACUUAAUACAAGAGUCACAUAGAUACUAUUAUGUAUGAAUUUGUGUAUUUUCCUGAACAUAAUCUUCCCAUUAAUCCUCAAAUCAUUUCAUAGCCAUUGUGUCUCUAUACCCAGAACAAAACACUCAACAAACAUAUACACAUACCUUGGACAGAUGGAGAGGGAGAGAGAGAGAGAGAGAGAGAAAGAGAGAGAGAGAGAGAGAGAGAGAGAGAGAGAGAGAGAGAGAGAGACCUCUGCCUUUUUUUUAUCUCUUACUGUCUUGCAUUUCAUUACAUUGUUCUGGCUGCCAAACAAGUCUGUUUUACUGUUGGUUCUAUCAGUCCCAAGAUAUCAUUCACUUAUUUCUUUAGGUCUCUAUACAAACAUGACCUCUUCAGUACAACAAAUGCUUGUCCUGCCUGUAGUCUCUCAUUCCUAUCUCUCUGAGCAAAUCUAAGAUUAUUCUUUUGCUUAUUUCAAUUUCUUCCAGUCUCAUACACCAACACACACUUGGCCAUAUAAUCACAUUUAUUUAUGUUUUUUUUUUUUUUUUUUCUGUUUCAGAGCCAGGGCCACAUCUUUGUUAAGUAAGCACACGGCCACUGAUCCACUAAUCCUUUUAAAGGCAGAGUCUACAUUAUUUUUGUCCACUGGCUGUGCUCACCUUCUCAUGCUAUCUCUUUGCUUAUUGUAACUACACUUCUUGAACUAAUAAACUUAAGAAUCUGUUAAAGUUGUUAAGCAACACAGUAUCACAUGUUUCCAUGUUAAAAAUGUAAAGUGUCCAGUAGUGACUUUAUAGAGACUUUCAGAGCUUUGUUUCCAAAUAUUAAAUUUCCUUCUAAUAUUAUUGAUAUUAAAGUACAAAUUCUAUGUUGUCCUUUGUGUUAAAAUCACCAGCUUUGUGGAAAUGAAAUAUGGCAUUUAUUAAAAUACUGUUAUAAGAUAUAAGUUGCUUCACAACUAAAAAUAAACAUAGUUUCAGUGUUUUGGUUGUAUUAGAUUGACCACAGAAGGGCUAAGAUUUUGAGUUUUAGAAAGAAGAUAAGUACAUUCUUUAAAAUCACAUUUAUUUUCAUGGUUUGAUAAUGACUAUACAAAGCUUAUUUUCAAUGUAAAAAUCUAUUAACAAAAAAUAUUAUAGAAACCUUAAAACAUUAAAGAUGUUAUAUUAUUAAUUUCUAUGUUUAUAGAUAAUAAAACUGAGCUAUGAACAUAUACUAUAGUUUUCUCAUAGAUCAUAGAGUUAUAAAACUAUGUGCCCAGGACUCAUAAUACUACUGCCAAAAUGUUAUAAGGUCACAAUAAUGAAAGAAAUGCCUUUAUUAAAAACUCUCUUAUUAUUAACUUGAUUCUUUAGAAUUGUUUAAGUUAUUGUUUUUUCAUACUUUAAUUAAACUUGUUCAAUAAACUAAGACCACAGGUAAUAGAAGAAAACCUGCAGCAGAACAAUAGAAUACCGUACAUCAGUGGCAAGUAGUUUGAGGAAAGCACCAUCAAGCCUUCAGCAGUAAUUUAUUGAACUCUGGUUUUUUGUUUGUUUGCUUUGAUUUGAUUUCAUAUUUUCUUGCAAUUCCCUUCAAGUUUCAAGUAAAGCUGACCUACAGCUUGCACGGAGUAUUAGACCAUCUGUCCCUAUGAACACUGGGUGAGUUCUUUGUUUGAAGCUUUGUGGACUUCAGAGAAACCAGCAAAUAUCUCUAGGCUUCCCAGUGUCACUUUACUAUAAACAUAACAUGUAAAUUUCAUUUUUCUCUAGUGCUUAGAAACAGCAUAAUAAAUUUUAAAAAAUUAAAGGAGAGGAAUGUAAACUGCUACAAUAAAAUAACAUAACUGGUUUUCAAUGUUUUUUUUUUAAUUUAGUGGGAGGUUAUAAAUACAGUAGAAUUGCUUCAGCAAACUUCAGAACAUUGCCUUGCUCCAACAUAGAUUGCUACUCCAUUUAAGAAGUGAUCAAGCAUAAUCAUUGCCAUUGCGUUUGCAUUUUAUCUGUUGAUUCAAACUGUAGUUUCAAGGGGACAAAAUACAAUGCAUUCUUAAAUUCUUAAAUUCUAUAAUGAUUUGAGG
rnacentral:lncRNA from 1 species